AACCACGCUUACUGUUACAGUGUGUAUUCAGGAGGACCCAGGAGCAGGACACGGAGGCAGUGGUAAAAGGCAUUUGUACUGAAUGGCGUGCAACAGUGCGUGGAUGUUAUGCAUCGCUUGUAAAAAGGACUGCAUCUACAUGGCCGCUGGAGGGUUGAGACGCAGAAAGUGCAGUGGAGACACCGGGGAUGGGCGCAUUCAUCUCCUGCUCGGCUGCAGCACCACGGACCCCGCUGGAACACACAGCCACUAAAAA